AAUCAUGGCUCAGGACGAACGCUGGCGGCGUGCCUAAUACAUGCAAGUAGAACGCUGAAGGAGGAGCUUGCUUCUCUGGAUGAGUUGCGAACGGGUGAGUAACGCGUAGGUAACCUGCCUGGUAGCGGGGGAUAACUAUUGGAAACGAUAGCUAAUACCGCAUAAGAGUAGAUGUUGCAUGACAUUUGCUUAAAAGGUGCAAUUGCAUCACUACCAGAUGGACCUGCGUUG
rnacentral:rRNA from 1 species